UGGCUCAGAUUGAACGCUGGCGGCGUUGCCUAACACAUGCAGGUCGAGCGGUAACAGGUGUAGCAAUACAUGCUGACGAGCGGCGGACGGGUGAGUAACGCUUGGGAAUCUGCCUGAUAGUGGGGGACAACCCGGGGAAACUCGGGCUAAUACCGCAUACGCACUACGGUGGAAAGCCGGGGACCGCAAGGCCUGGCGCUAACAGAUGAGCCCAAGUCGGAUUAGCUAGUUGGUAGGGUAACGGCCUACCAAGGCGACGAUCCGUAACUGGUCUGAGAGGACGACCAGUCACACCGGAACUGAGACACGGUCCGGACUCCUACGGGAGGCAGCUGUGGGGAAUAUUGGACAAUGGGCGAAAGCCUGAUCCAGCGACGCCGCGUGGGUGAAGAAGGCCUGCGGGUUGUAAAGCCCUUUCGGUGGGGAAGAAAAGCCUCGAGCUAAUACCUCGGGGUCUUGACGUAACCCAUAGAAGAAGCACCGGCUAACUCUGUGCCAGCAGCCGCGGUAAUACAGAGGGUGCGAGCGUUAAUCGGAAUUACUGGGCGUAAAGCGCGCAGGCGGCUUUGCAAGUCGGGUGUGAAAUCCCCAGGCUUAACCUGGGAACUGCAUUCGAGACUGCAUUGCUAGAGUAUGGGAGAGGGAAGUGGAAUUUCCGGUGUAGCGGUGAAAUGCGUAGAUAUCGGAAGGAACAUCAGUGGCGGAAGCGACUUCCUGGACCAAUACUGACGCUCAUGUGCGAAAGCGUGGGGAGCAAACAGGAUUAGAUACCCUGGUAGUCCACGCCAUAAACAAUGAGAACUGGGAUGUCCGGAGGGUCUGCCUCUCGGUGUCGUACCUACGCGUUAAGUUCUCCGCCUGGGGAGUACGGCCGCAAGGUUGAUACUCAAAGGAAUGANCGGGGACCCUCUCAGCGGUGGANCAUGUGGNUUAUCCGAUGGCACCGCGAAAACUUUCCUGGUCUUGACUUCCCAGGAACCCUUGC
rnacentral:rRNA from 1 species